AACUGUAUGAACAGGUCAACCACUAACCACCAUGUCCACCAAAACUGUAUAAACAGGUCAACCAUUAACCACCAUGUCCACCAAAACUGUAUGAACAGGUCAACCACUAACCACCAUGUCCACCAAAACUGUAUGAACAGGUCAACCACUAACCACCAUGUCCACCAAAACUGUAUGAACAGGUCAACCACUAACCACCAUGUCCACCAAAACUGUAUGAACAGGUCAACCACUAACCACCAUGUCCACCAAAACUGUAUGAACAGGUCAACCACUAACCACCAUGUCCACCAAAACUGUAUGAACAGGUCAACCACUAACCACCAUGUCCACCAAAACUGUAUGAACAGGUCAACCACUAACCACCAUGUCCACCAAAACUGUAUAAACAGGUCAACCACUAACCACCAUGUCCACCAAAACUGUAUGAACAGGUCAACCAUUGUCCACCAAAACUGUAUAUAACAGGUCAACCAUUAACCACCAUGUCCACCAAAACUGUAUAAACAGGUCAACCAUUAACCACCAUGUCCACCAAAACUGUAUAAACAGGUCAACCACUAACCACCAUGUCCACCAAAACUGUAUGAACAG